AUGAGGCUGCUGGGUCUUCUCCUGUGCCUGGUGACAGCCCCCCAAGGUGUCCUGUCCCAGGUGCAGCUGCAGGAGUCGGGCACAGGACUGGUGAAGCCCUCGCAGACCCUGUCCCUCACCUGCACUGUCUCUGGAUUCUCUUUAACCAGCUACAGUGUACACUGGGGACAGCAGCCGGGCACUCCAUCUGCUGACAGGACUGGUCAAGCUCUGGGCUGGUGGACCUCACCCCGUCAUCUCUGGGUCCACACGGAUUCCCAGGAAGAGCUGUCAGCUCAGUGCUCCAAACAGAGGGAUCCCCCACCUCCAUCCUCCAGGGACCCCUGUGUCCUGCAAGAAGCAGUCCCAGCACCCCGGUAG